CACGUAGGGGGCAAGCGUUGUCCGGAUUUAUUGGGCGUAAAGAGCUCGUAGGCGGUUCGGUAAGUUGGGUGUGAAACCUCCAGGCUCAACCUGGAGACGCCACCCGAUACUGCUGUGACUAGAGUCCGGUAGGGGAGCGUGGAAUUCCUGGUGUAGCGGUGAAAUGCGCAGAUAUCAGGAGGAACACCUGUGGCGAAAGCGGCGCACUGGACCACAACUGACGCUGAGGCGCGAAAGCUAGGGGAGCAAACAGG
rnacentral:rRNA from 1 species